rnacentral:rRNA from 1 species
AUUGAACGCUGGCGGCAUGCCUUACACAUGCAAGUCGAACGGCAGCACGGGAGCAAUCCUGGUGGCGAGUGGCGAACGGGUGAGUAAUGUAUCGGAACGUGCCCAGUCGUGGGGGAUAACGUAGCGAAAGCUACGCUAAUACCGCAUACGAUCUAUGGAUGAAAGCGGGGGACCGUAAGGCCUCGCGCGAUUGGAGCGGCCGAUAUCAGAUUGGGUAGUUGGUGGGGUAAAGGCCUACCAAGCCGACGAUCUGUAGCUGGUCUGAGAGGACGACCAGCCACACUGGGACUGAGACACGGCCCAGACUCCUACGGGAGGCAGCAGUGGGGAAUUUUGGACAAUGGGCGCAAGCCUGAUCCAGCAAUGCCGCGUGCAGGAUGAAGGCCUUCGGGUUGUAAACUGCUUUUGUACGGAGCGAAAAGGCUCUCUCUAAUACAGGGGGCUCAUGACGGUACCGUAAGAAUAAGCACCGGCUAACUACGUGCCAGCCGCCGCCGCGGUAA